GGAAGCGUGCCCGAAUCUUAAGGAGUACUUUGAUAGAGUAUAAUAUAGGGGUUAAAAUCCCCUCUCUUCCC
rnacentral:tRNA from 1 species